GACGAACGCUGGCGGCGUGCUUAACACAUGCAAGUCGAACGGGAGUAUUGAAGAAGCUUGCUUUCGAGAUACUUUAGUGGCGGACGGGUGAGUAACGCGUGAGGAGCUGUCCAAUGCAGGGGGACAACAGUUGGAAACGACUGCUACUACCCCAUAAGCCGAGAGGUAAAAGGAUUUAUCCGGCAUGGGAGGUACGCGCGGCCUAUCAGCUAGUAGGGGAGGUAACGGCGCACCUAGGCGAAGCCGGGGAGCCGGCCUGCGAGGGCGAACGGCCACACUGGAACUGAGAUACGGUCCAGACUCCUACGGGAGGCAGCAGUGGGGAAUAUUGGGCAAUGGGGGGAACCCUGACCCAGCGACGCCGCGUGGGUGAAGAAAUCCUUCGGGAUGUAAAGCCCUGUUGUAUGGGAAGAGCGGAAGACGGUACCAUACGAGGAAGCCCCGGCAAACUACGUGCCAGCAGCCGCCGUAA
rnacentral:rRNA from 1 species